GAUGAACGCUGGCGGCGUGCCUAAUACAUGCAAGUCGAGCGAACAGACGAGGAGCUUGCUCCUCUGACGUUAGCGGCGGACGGGUGAGUAACACGUGGAUAACCUACCUAUAAGACUGGGAUAACUUCGGGAAACCGGAGCUAAUACCGGAUAAUAUAUUGAACCGCAUGGUUCAAUGGUGAAAGACGGUUUUGCUGUCACUUAUAGAUGGAUCCGCGCCGCAUUAGCUAGUUGGUAAGGUAACGGCUUACCAAGGCAACGAUGCGUAGCCGACCUGAGAGGGUGAUCGGCCACACUGGAACUGAGACACGGUCCAGACUCCUACGGGAGGCAGCAGUAGGGAAUCUUCCGCAAUGGGCGAAAGCCUGACGGAGCAACGCCGCGUGAGUGAUGAAGGUCUUCGGAUCGUAAAACUCUGUUAUUAGGGAAGAACAAAUGUGUAAGUAACUAUGCACGUCUUGACGGUACCUAAUCAGAAAGCCACGGCUAACUACGU
rnacentral:rRNA from 1 species